CGGUCCAGACUCCUACGGGAGGCAGCAGUAGGGAAUCUUCCGCAAUGGGCGAAAGCCUGACGGAGCAACGCGCGUGAGUGAUGAAGGUCUUCGGAUCGUAAAACUCUGUUAUUAGGGAAGAACAUACGUGUAAGUAACUGUGCACGUCUUGACGGUACCUAAUCAGAAAGCCACGGCUAACUACGUGCCAGCAGCCGCGGUAA
rnacentral:rRNA from 1 species